rnacentral:rRNA from 1 species
UACGGGGGGAGCAAGCGUUGUUCGGAUUUACUGGGCGUAAAGGGCGCGUAGGCGGCCUUCUAAGUCAGACGUGAAAUCCCCCGGCUUAACCUGGGAACUGCGUCUGAUACUGGGAGGCUUGAGUAUGGGAGAGGGAUGUAGAAUUCCAGGUGUAGCGGUGAAAUGCGUAGAUAUCUGGAGGAAUACCGGUGGCGAAGGCGGCAUCCUGGACCAUAACUGACGCUGAGGCGCGAAAGCUAGGGGAGCAAACAGG